GCAAACGAAGGACUGUUUAGGACAUGACCAAAUUCUACUAUGUGCUGGAUCAUUGUAAAUCUCAAAUCUCAUUGUCGUCCAUGGAAGACAAUUCUGAGAAUGUGAAGCCCAGUGUUUUAAAGGGACUGACAUGGUGCUUGGUUCGUGCCUCGAGAAUGUGUCUCUCCGUCCUUGGUUAAGAGUGGGCAAAGGCUGUGGAGAUGGGGUGGAGAGUGAGGAUGGAACGGUGACAGUUGCAGCGAGCCCACCAGUGCCAGCAGGAGGAAAAUGUUAGCCUGCCAUUUCUGGAUGCUGCGGAGCAUAUGGAAAGCCUGGGAUUGUUGUCGGCAGCCCAGAUCAGGGCUGUGCCAUCCCAGCAGCUUUAUUGUGGUUUUUUAAAGAAAUCAUUUCAGUGAACUCCCUUACCUGUGGUUGUCAGAGGAAAUGCCUCAAAUACUGGUUGUCUAUAGUUUUCCAUGUUCCUGAAUAUAUAUCUGAGUAUCAUUAUUAAAGGCUGC
rnacentral:lncRNA from 1 species